UCUCCAAGGCUGUAGGGUGGAUGAUAGAGAGAAAACUCACACCCACUCUCUGUAAUUCCUGGUAAUCUCUACGUUGUGGAUCCGUUUUUAAUGUUGCUCUCAUGUUUCAAAGAAUCAGAUAGGUGAAGAUAAAUGACAACUUCUCUUUUUGUGAUCUCUCCUCCAUUUUCUCUGUGUCUUCACAGUCUCAAAGAGGAGGAACAUCAAGAGAGAUGAAUAAACAGAGAAGAUGUGUGGCUUCCACCAGGAGCCUCUGAGCCCAUUUCAAUUUCUUGCUUGCUCAAGAAAAAGGAUAAAGAAUGGCCAGCACCUGAAUUUCUGAAUGAUGAGAAGCAGGACCUGAUGCCACCUCUACCUGGGAACCUCAGAUGUCACAUUUAGCAGGGAAUUGUCCAGUCCUUGAAAACUGGAAUCACAGGAGCACUGUUUAAUGCUAAGUGGUAUCUGCAUCAUAUCUGAAGCUGGAACAUGCCAGGAAAACAUCCUUCACAUUCUGCACUAAUAUUUCCAAGCAUUCAGGACCAAUCACGGGUUGGCUGGAUUGCUACUGGAUAUGAGUCCUUGCCUUGGAGCACACAGGAGAAGCAACCAGCAUGCAGCUCUGCUGUCUGGAGCGCUUCUUUGCUCUCUGAUUCACAAGUCUGGAGCUGUCUUCACCUGGCCCAAAGUGUGAGUGAGAAGUGCCUGCCCCGAUGUGAGACCACAGCUCUGACCAUCACCUGGCAAUCUGCUAUGCUGGAACUUACAAAAUGUACCUGUGGGAAGAAAGUCUCAGUUGGAUAGCUGGACACAGCUGUUUCCCUGCCCUGGAAAUGGACCCAAAGGAAUCAGGAGAAUAAAUGUUUGUGCAAACUUUUUUUCAUGUGGCUGCCCAGAAAUGACCCAAGUGAAGCCAAGGAGCUGAACACUGAGCAACCUCCCCCUGGUGAUGCUGCUGAAAUGAGAGCCCUCCAGAAUGUAGCCCACCUGUAAAUUUUCUUGCUUGAAGAUUUGCCACUCUACAUUAUUCCUGCAGGGAAUACACAGAAGAAUAAAACCCAGGACCAUGCCUCAGAGGGGAAAAACUGCAGCAAUGACUGACUUAAAGGGCUGAUCCAAAUCCCACCAAACACCCCUUUCUUGCCACCAGGGAGUGCAGCCUUGCCCAGAGAAGCCAUUGCCCAGCUCCUCCCAGCACAUUACCUGUGUGAAAAGGCAGCAGACCUGGUCUUAGGAAAGUUCUCUCCUUCCUUCUCUCCUGUCCUGGCUCUCCACCCCAAAGAUGGAGGAGCACGUUCAGUAGCAAAACAAAAAGCACAGGACUGCAUCUCCAAACCUUCAGCACAUACAAGCAGCCUCCUCCCGCUGACCUCUCACUUCUCAGCUUCAGAUUAAACUCCAGAUUCUCAACUUCAGCUUCUCAACUUCAGACUUCUGGAAGGACAUGAAGCCCUUUGCAAGAUCUGAGCCACUUGACCACUCUUCUUCAUUUUAAUGCUUAUUUAUCUUUCCUACUUUUCCAUGCUCUGGACUAUUAACAAGUUGUAAAAGUGCUUCUCAGGCCUCACAAGCACUGCCAUAUCUGCUGAGCUCUCCUGGUGCACAGGCAGAAUCACCCACGUGUGCACACCAGAUGGGUUUUUGGGGGACACUGGGCCCAGUAUUCAAAGCCCAUCAGCACAUGCUCAUCCAUGGAGAACAGAGCUGCCUGCAUUUACAUUUUCAGCCAUGCAUGAGGGCUGAAAGCAAAGCCAGUGAAUAAUGUGCAUUUGCAAGGAAAGGCCCAGUAGCCACCUCCAAACACCCUGAGAGACUCCUUGUGCCAUAAAGGAAAAAGGAGUGACCAGGGGAGAGUUUGAGUUGACUGGGAGUGAGGUAGGAAAAAGAGAAUGACAACAACAACAGCAACAGAAAAGUGUAGGGCAACAGUUCAGAGAAGAGGCUCACACAGCACUGAGCUUCAUUUUAAGGUUCUGAUUUAUCUGAGUUGGGCAUGGCAUCAGCUGAGAUUCAGAAUGAAACUAGGACACAAGCUUAAUUGCAAAACCAGCUGAAACCACAGGAUGCAGUCACAGAAAAUUCUCACUCGUUUGAGGCUGGCAUAGGGUUUCACCGAGCUUCAGCAGGAGGUUUUGGGGGCCCCAAAAUAGAUUCAGGGAGUUAAAAUUCAGUUGCUUUCCCAAAUUCAGCCCGGGCCUAGCAGAAGUAGAGAAGGGGAUGAUUAGAGAGUAUCCACACAAGUAGGAGUGACUGCUGGCUGGCACAUUGCUUGUCCACCUAACAAGGUGAGAUUUGUAGGGGUUAUGUUGUUGGUGUAAACAGACAUAGUCAUCCUAAAAUACCUCUCUCCAACGCCGUGGCCGUGAGUGACACAGAAAGCCCAAGGUCAACAGCUGUUUCUCUAGCAAGAAAAGUGAACCAAGAACCUCAGGGCUGCGGAGAUGGGCCAGCCACAGCUCUCACCCUGCUCUUCUAAUUGUGAGCUGCCCAUGGCCGAUUCCUGGAAACAAGCAGGGAGAGAGAGCUCUGUGCCUAGCAUCAACACACUUGUGGUUUCACUGAAAAGCCAACACGACAGCCCAAAGCCAGUCCUUCCAGCAGCAUCGCUCCCUCGCCUGACACUGUCUCUCUGCUGCUCCCUCAGAGAAUAUUUUCUGCUACAGACAUUUAUCCCACUUUGGAUUUCACUCCUCCUGCCGCGUUCUGGUUUUGUCUAGAAAGGCAGACUUUGUCUGGCUCUCAGCAGCCUGGGGUGUAUUUUUUCCUAGACUGGAUUCAGACAGGAAUCCUGUUGGAUGGGCCGAGGCUCAGGAAGGAGUUGCACAGAGGGGCUCCCCCAUAUGGGUGCUCACCCCAAGCUGUCAGGGAGCCCUUCCACCUUGCUGUGACUCCCUCUUUGCCAUAGGGAGCAGACAUGCAGGGGUGGAGCUGCAGAGUUUUUAGUUCUCCAUGGUGUUUUGGAAAUCAAAAACUUUGAGAUAUGGGAGACACGUUGCCUUCAGCUCUAAGCUGUGCUUUCCUUGUUAUCCUAAAGGCAUGGGAACUUUGUGGGGCCUGAUCCGUGCUCACUGGGAGAAGCUGCGGAUCUGAAGCCAAGCCUGUUUGUUCCAGAACAGCAGCUCCUGCUAAGCUGAGUGGGGUUUUGAGCAGCAGAGAUCUGAAUCCCAUUUCUGGGACAGGUGAGCCGUUGAAACAUGCAGGAUUUUCUGCUGCCUUUGGCAUUUGGAGUUAAUGGGUGUGAAACUUCUUUUCACUUCUGCUUUUCAUGUGCAUGCUUGGUACGAUGCACUUAUGGUGUGGAGUUUUGCAAUCAGGACAUUUCCCCAUCAAGUUUGGGGUUGUUUCUCUGAUUUUUACAAGGGAUGAACAGGCUGCUACUUCAGGGCAAAGCAGACAUGUAGCAUAUCAGGGCAGGGAAAUCCAAGAAAAAUACUAUCUGAAUACUAUUUGUGUUGUGAGCACAUGUAGGUGUUUAUUAUUUCUGAGAGCUCUAUCAGUCAGACAUUGAACAAUCGUGACAUCUGUUGUAAGUUACUGUCCCCCAGAGUCGUUUCACACAGUUUGGAGUUUGCUUUUUCAAAUCCACCACAAAUAAAGCCCAGAAUUAUCUCCCCGUCCCCACAAAGGCAAGUGAGAACCUCCUGGGGAAAUGCUGCAGACUGCAAGGAGGUGGAGAGGUUUAGCAGAGGAGGGUUUGGGUCCUCUCUGCCUUACCGUGGGUUGAGCCAUGAACCCCCCAGUUCACACCAUCAGAGGGACCCCCCUGAGGUCCACAGGAGCUGAGACAAUGGUAAUUUCAUAAAAACAAAAACAAAGACCAAGUGAAAAAGCUGACCUGCAGCUCCAAACGUUCUGAUCCAUCAUCCUGUGCUGUGCUGGGGAUCCCUGUGUUGGUGUUCACAGGUUUGCACGUUGUUGGUGCCUCCCACACUGCUGCUGGGAGCUGGGAAGGCCAGAGCCAAGUCAGCUUUCCCUUUCAGCCCAUCUGCCUGUAUCAGGGAAGAAAUACUGUCUGUUUGUUUAGGUGAGAUAUUAGUCUGCCCCCGGAGCUCCAGGUCACUGUAAAUGUAACACAAGCCCUAUUUCCUGUUAGGAAAGGGGAAAAAAUAUGCCUGUGAAUUGUCUCUGAUGUGCUGCCAGCUGUCAGGGAAGAUUCAAUUUGGUGGAGAGCUACUGAGCUCUUAAAGAGCUGCACCAGUGAUGGAGAUUUAGGGCAGCCACUCCUUCCAGAAAUGGGAGAUUUGUCCGAUUUCCACAAAACCAGGAUUGUGACUGCCCACUCCCCAGGCAUGAAUGGCUUGGAGGGGAGGCUGAAGCAGUGGCUCAGGUUAAGGGGACCAUGUUGGGACAAGAAGGGGACACCUGUGCUUGGUUAAAGGAAAGCUGGACAGAGAUUUGGGGUGAGGCUGGCAGGUGCUGGGGUAAAGCUUUCUGUCAGUGCUUCACUAUGGUAAAGGAAAAAUGGUGUUUUCUUGCCACCUAGCCAAAAAGUCAGAGCAAAAGAGACAUGAAUUUUCUCUGUGUGUGUGAUGCACAUAUGUGUUCACUGCUAAUCCAAUAAAGCAAAUAUGUGACCUGUGGAAUGACCCAAAGCUGCUACAAUAAAUAAUGCUAUAGAUCACUCAUGCAUUUCACUUUCUUUUGCAUUUCAUGUAUCAAGGCAAAUUUCAGCUGUUGUCUAAGCAGCCAUGUAUAGAGAAGUAAACUGCAGCCACCCAUUUGGCCUCUCCUACAGUAGAAACCACCCUUGCCCUUCCAAAAUUGGCAAAAAAAAAGGGUUUCCCUCUUUUUUCAUUAUGCUUAUUGCAAAGAGUAGUAUUUCAGUUUAGGCCUUCAUAAGGGUGCAGUGUACUUAGGUAAAGCUGAUGUUUUUUCAUCAUGUUGCUUGGCCUACUCUGUAGGCCUUGUCUCCAAAAACAUUCACCCUCCAAAGUUUCGUGUGGCAAAGAAAUACAAAAAAGCCUAUGGACUAAGUUCCAUGAAAUUGCCCAGAUGUUAACUGGAUAUCAGAGGUGCUUUGAAACCUGGCAUUCUCCACAUGUCCAUGUGCCAGUUUGCUCUCUUCCACAAAAGAGAAUAUCUAAAUCAUGUUAGCCUUAGUGGGAGAAUAAUUAUUACCUAAAACCUGUAUAACACAUAGAAAUAACCCUAAAGAGAUUUAAUUUUUAUUCAGCUUACUACUGCAGCAAACAAUAGCUUGGUUGGCAGGAGACCAGGAGAACUGCAGAAAAGCUAUUUUAAGGGAUAUAAAGGCAUACUUUUUUGCCAUUUGGUUCCCUCUCCUAGUUUUACAGAGCUAGUGGGGCAAUGGGAUGGGAGUGAGCUGGUGGCCAGCACUGUUUGUCUCCCCAGUGCUUGCAGGUAGCAGCUCCCUGUGGCCUCUCUCUCCCCAUCUCUGGGCACUCUCCCUGGUGCUGCCUCAGUAUCUCUCAAUCAGCCAGGGCACACCCAGCAUCAGCAAAAUUAUCCUCCCUGCAGCCCUUGGAAAUGAGGUAACUCCUCUGCUCCAGCCCAGGCUCCCAGGCAAUCCGAGGGGAUGGAACUUGUUCUCUCCAGCCGUUUUUAAAAUCCAUCAGGGUUUUUCCUGGAGCGCUGGGGCUCAGCAGGGUGGGUGAGCCGUCGGCUGCUGGGUUGUGAUGCAGUCACACACACUCACUCCCAGGGCUGCACCGUGGGGGUAUUCCAGCCCUUCCACUUUGUCCAGAGGUUCCUUCCUCUGGAAAAUGCACAGACUCAUCCUGGUAUAAAUACAGAUUUUUGUUCUCCAUCCUUUACUGUGUCUCUGUGUUUCAGAGUUACGCCGUUGGAGCAAAAACUGAAAGAUGCAAUGUCUUAUUCCAUGAAAAGCUGCUUAGCAGAGACAUGGGGUCAAAAGCCAGUGCUGCAGCCCAAACCAAGGCCUGUGGCUUCCCCAUCAGCCACUGCAGUCCCUGCAUGGGGACAGCCUCUCCCUGACCCUUUCUCAAACACUUGCUGAGCCCAUCCUUGGCUCCUGGUAGAGCUGAUUAGUUGAUGACUUGUCUCCAGUUCCUUUAGCCUUUCUCUGGAUGCCUCCUCCCUGGAUUGGGCUCCUCCUGCUUUCCCUCUUUGCAUCUCUGCAACCAUAAACAUAUGUAACAAAUAAGAACCAUAUACUUAUUUUAUAUUUGUAUACUGACAUUUAGGGAAAUAUGUGAUUUGUGCUUUCGAACUAAAUGAAGGUAGGAGGGUAUUAACAAGAAACAGGUUAGGAAAGCCCCCUCUUUUCAUUUUCCUUGCCUGUAUUCUGAAAUUUCCUUUAGAGACUGCUUCUUCUUUCCAGUCAUCCUAAAUCCUAUUAUCCUUUUUUUAUUAUUAUUUUAGUCAAUUGAAAAAUAAAUGCCAUUAUUGCUAAGGAAGUUUAAGAUCUACUUAGAAAGAGUAAAAUGGAUUUAAUCUGGUUCUUGUGUGAUAAAUACAUUUUAAGCUUCUUGGUCUGUCUGCACCAAAGAUGUCAAAAUGUAAUCCUUUCAAAUCAACAUGAUAGAUCCUUUAAUAGACUUUCUAGCCUACUGCUCUAAAAUACUUCCUACAUUUAAAAAUGUAUAUUCACAAGAGACCAGUAUUGUUUAGGACAUAGGUGAGCAUAUCUGAAAUACCCAGGUGAAAACUGUCUACUACUACACUGCCUUGAACUGUUGGGAAAAAUAGCUACUACUCACUCAAUCUAGUAUCCAGUUCCUGGGAAAAGGUAUUUUCUCCUGGAAACACCUGCAGGGUGAAGUUUAUUCCCCUUUUGUCAAUCUGAGCAGCAAAGUAAGGAUGCUAUAAUAAAUGAUGGCAGGGGCUGAAAGAGAUGUAAGAGCACAGAAAAGAAAUCAUUAAUCCACUGCACCAACUCUGCUAAUAGCCAGCAGAUACCAGACUGCCAGUGCAUCUCUUUUAUCUGUGGGUUUAUCUCCUCUUGGGCACUGUUAAUUUAUUUGGGUUUUUUGGGGUUUGUUUGGUUUGGGUUCUUUUCCAUCCUUUUACCCUCUGUGAAGAUCCCCAGACACACAGGAGUGCCCAUCUUUAUCUCCUGCAAAGGUAUUUUCCAAAAUUCUGCCUGUGCUCCUGCCCUGCCUGUGGUCGGCUGGGGCUCUGUCAGUAGCCCAGGGAAAACAGCUUAACAAGGUUACCUCAGUGUCACCCUGGAAGCAGCCAGCAACUCUUUGCAGUUUAUUAUUCGUGCUGUUAAGUAUGACCUGGAAAUUUGUGUCUUUGUAUAACCAGAUGUCAGUUCCUUCAAUUGCUACAAAGCCACUCUUUUUCUCCCCUUCCCCCUCCCUUGCUGGCUCUCCAGACACGAAGAACCAACAGCGUGGGCUCAUGCUCCUGACAGGAUGAGCAUUGUCAGGAAUAUACAAGCUGUGGUUUUUCCUUUCUGCGUCUUGAAAGUGAAGAAAAAAGACCUUUGAUUUAUCUGAAGUUCUGUUAUUUUUAUUUUUGUCUUUGAGCUAAUAAAAGGUGUCAUUAUAUUAUCACACUUGUGUCCCUUCCAUGUUUAUCCUGGCCCAUAUUCCACUCUGCAGCAGCAAGAA